GAUGAACGCUGGCGGCGUGCCUAAUACAUGCAAGUCGAGCGAACAGACGAGGAGCUUGCUCCUUUGACGUUAGCGGCGGACGGGUGAGUAACACGUAGGUAACCUACCUAUAAGACUGGGAUAACUUCGGGAAACCGGAGCUAAUACCGGAUAAUAUUUCGAACCGCAUGGUUCGAUAGUGAAAGACGGCUUUGCUAUCACUUAUAGAUGGACCUGCGCCGUAUUAGCUAGUUGGUAAGGUAACGGCUUACCAAGGCAACGAUACGUAGCCGACCUGAGAGGGUGAUCGGCCACACUGGAACUGAGACACGGUCCAGACUCCUACGGGAGGCAGCAGUAGGGAAUCUUCCGCAAUGGGCGAAAGCCUGACGGAGCAACGCCGCGUGAGUGAUGAAGGUCUUCGGAUCGUAAAACUCUGUUAUUAGGGAAGAACAAACGUGUAAGUAACUGUGCACGUCUUGACGGUACCUAAUCAGAAAGCCACGGCUAACUACGUG
rnacentral:rRNA from 1 species